rnacentral:lncRNA from 1 species
AUGUAAUAAAGUGACUGUUCACUCUUUUUUUCACCCCUUUCUCCAGGAAAACUAUUCAGCAUCAGGAUGAUAAAGAGGAUGUGGAAUAAACAGUAAAUCAGAUGACAAAAGGAAAGAACAAAUGUAAACAAGAAAAUACAAGUAGGAGAUGGACCACAAACCUUUCAUUUCAGACAAGGAAAAAACGCCAAUAAGAUGCAUAAGAGAGAAAAGCAUAUUCCACUUCCAAAAGGGAUGGGGAGAAAUAUUCUUUCUCCACCUAUUCCAAGCCUAAUAGUUCAAACGUUUUUCCUGCAGAAUUCAGGUUUUUCCUGUCACUAGGCAUGUGACAAGAAAAACAAUGAGUCUGUCUGCUUCAGUACGUGUGAAAUGUGUGAA